GUGGGGAAUUUUGGACAAUGGGGGAAACCCUGAUCCAGCGACGCCGCGUGAAGGAUGAAGGCCUUCGGGUUGUAAACUUCUUUUGGAGGGGACGAAUAAAUUGACGGUACCCUCAGAAAAAGCCACGGCUAACUACGUGCCAGCAGCCGCGGUAAUACGUAGGUGGCGAGCGUUACUCGGAAUUACUAGGCGUAAAGCGUAUGUAGGCGGUUGUAUAAGUCUAUGGUGAAAUUUCCUGGCUCAACUGGGAAGGGACAUAGAUACUGUAUGGCUUGAGUGUUGGAGGGGGAGACGGAAUUCCUGGUGUAGCGGUGAAAUGCGUAGAUAUCAGGAGGAACACCGAUGGCGAAAGCAGUCUCCUGGCCAAAUACUGACGCUGAGGUACGAAAGCUAGGGUAGCAAACAGGAUUAGAAACCCUAGUAGUCC
rnacentral:rRNA from 1 species